GGACUAAUUAUGAUACAUUUUAUAUCUUAGCGGAUUUCAAUGAGAUUUUAUUGAUGAUCUGAAUGUUACACACCCUGAAGCCU